rnacentral:rRNA from 1 species
AUGCUUCCUGAGUAUUCUUUUCUCCGCACUUUUGGUUGUGCGUGUUGGCCUAGUUUGCGUAAGUACAAUUCACGUAAACUCGAGUUUCACUCUAGGAUGUGUGUGUUUCUUGGUUAUAGUCCCAUGCAUAAAGGCUACAAGUGCCUUGAUCGCUCCACUGGUCGUAUUUACAUCUCCCGUGACGUCGUGUUCGACGAGACGGUGUUUCCCUAUGCCGCUCCCGGUGCCACUGUUGAUGUCUCCCAACUCCUUCCCGUGUCAUUUCCGUCCGAUGAGCCAGUUACUCAGAGUACCGACACGCGUAAUUAUGACAUUACCUUGUUACCGGCUAAUGCACCUGGUGUUGUUGUUAGUUCUCCUGUGUAG